rnacentral:ribozyme from 1 species
UUCCAAGCUACUCUUAUCCCUAACUUCCUCGUGAUACCGGCCAGGCUGCGAGCAACCUUUGUCGUAAGCUGACAGUGUAAG